rnacentral:tRNA from 1 species
UGGGGUGCAGCUCAGUGGUAGAGCCUUUGCCUAGCAUGCACACAGCCCUGGGUUCCAUCCCCAGCACUGCAG